rnacentral:rRNA from 1 species
CUUACCAAGGCAACGAUGCAUAGCCGACCUGAGAGGGUGAUCGGCCACACUGGAACUGAGACACGGUCCAGACUCCUACGGGAGGCAGCAGUAGGGAAUCUUCCGCAAUGGGCGAAAGCCUGACGGAGCAACGCCGCGUGAGUGAUGAAGGUCUUCGGAUCGUAAAACUCUGUUAUUAGGGAAGAACAUAUGUGUAAGUAACUGUGCACAUCUUGACGGUACCUAAUCAGAAAGCCACGGCUAACUACGUGCCAGCAGCCGCGGUAAUACGUAGGUGGCAAGCGUUAUCCGGAAUUAUUGGGCGUAAAGCGCGCGUAGGCGGUUUUUUAAGUCUGAUGUGAAAGCCCACGGCUCAACCGUGGAGGGUCAUUGGAAACUGGAAAACUUGAGUGCAGAAGAGGAAAGUGGAAUUCCAUGUGUAGCGGUGAAAUGCGCAGAGAUAUGGAGGAACACCAGUGGCGAAGGCGACUUUCUGGUCUGUAACUGACGCUGAUGUGCGAAAGCGUGGGGAUCAAACAGGAUUAGAUACCCUGGUAGUCCACGCCGUAAACGAUGAGUGCUAAGUGUUAGGGGGUUUCCGCCCCUUAGUGCUGCAGCUAACGCAUUAAGCACUCCGCCUGGGGAGUACGACCGCAAGGUUGA